rnacentral:rRNA from 1 species
GGGGAAUAUUGCACAAUGGGCGCAAGCCUGAUGCAGCGACGCCGCGUGAGGGAUGACGGCCUUCGGGUUGUAAACCUCUUUCAAUAGGGACGAAGCGCAAGUGACGGUACCUAUAGAAGAAGGACCGGCCAACUACGUGCCAGCAGCCGCGGUAAUACGUAGGGUCCGAGCGUUGUCCGGAAUUACUGGGCGUAAAGAGCUCGUAGGUGGUUUGUCGCGUUGUUCGUGAAAACUCACAGCUUAACUGUGGGCGUGCGGGCGAUACGGGCAUACUAGAGUACUGCAGGGGAGACUGGAAUUCCUGGUGUAGCGGUGGAAUGCGCAGAUAUCAGGAGGAACACCGGUGGCGAAGGCGGGUCUCUGGGCAGUAACUGACGCUGAGGCACGAAAGCGUGGGGAGCAAACA